rnacentral:ncRNA from 1 species
CCCGGCAGAUAGCGCGAUCACGCGCAUCCCCCGAAAGGGAAUCGGGUUAAGAUUUCCCGAGCCGGGAUGUGGCGGUUGACGGCGACGUUAGGAAGUCCGGAUACGCCUGCGGGGGCCUCGGGAAGAGUUAUCUUUUCUGCUUAACGGCCUGCCAACCCUGGAAACGGUUCAGCCGGAGGUAGGGUCCAGUGGCCGGAAGAGCACCGCACGUCGCGCGGUGUCCGGUGCGCCCCCGGCGGCCCAUGAAAAUCC